CAAGACUAAACCACCUUUACAGUUAAGGACACAAUAGAAGUUUCAUACAGCUGCACCAAUAUGAUGAAAAUUCCAAUGCAUCUUUCAUGCCCACAUCCAUUUGACAAACUUAAGUCACUUUAGGAAGACUUGCUGAGAACAGCAUUUAAUAGAUGGCAUGUCCUAUACUUGAAUGCCUUGACUGCUGCUUUGGCAAAAACUUGUGCUGCUUCCGCUUCAGCUUCUGCUGCUUCAGCCUCCCUUGCUGCCUCUUCAGCUUCUGCAAUUGCAGCUUCUGCCUCUGCAACUGCCUUCGCUGCAGCUGCAGCAGCCUCUAGGGCAGUCAUGCCCCUAAUCUUUGAUAGCUCUUGAUCAACCAGGGAUUUAGUCAGGAUUUUGGUGUUACUCUUCUCUGAUUUUGAAGAAUCCUUCUGCUUUCCCUCUGCAAGUAAGUGGGGCGUGUUUCUUCUUCCUUCAGAAACUGUUGAACUAGGUGCAAUCCUGUACUUAUGCUUUACCUUGACCAACUUUCCAUUUGCAGCCAGAAGCUUUAAUUUUCC
rnacentral:misc_RNA from 1 species